AGUCACUGACACUAGAUACCCCUGUAGUCCAGGGUGUAAACGCUGCAGACUUGGUGUUGGGAACCCUUCGGGGGUGCUCAGUGCCGGAGAGAAGUUGUUAAGUCUGCUACUUGGGGAGUACGUCCGCAAGGAUGAAACUUAAAGGAAUUGGCGGGGGAGCACCGCAACGGGAGGAGCGUGCGGUUUAAUUGAAUUCAACGCCGAAAAACUCACCAGCAGCGACUGUUACAUGAAAGUCAGGUUGAUGACCUUACUAGAUUUUCAG
rnacentral:rRNA from 1 species